rnacentral:lncRNA from 1 species
AGAGCAUCCUUGCUAUUUGGGCCUGCCAGGUCGUGCUCAUGGGUGCCGUUGAGGGGUACCGUGUUGCUGGCGGCCCACUUGGGGAGAUCGUCGACCCGCUUUACCCGGGAGGCAGCUUCGACCCACUGGGCCUUGCUGAAGACCCAGAAGCGUUCGCUGAGCUCAAGGUGAAAGAGAUCAAGAAUGGCCGGCUCGCCAUGUUCUCCAUGUUCGGGUUCUUCGUCCAGGCCAUUGUCACCGGCAAGGGCCCCCUCGAGAACCUUGCCGACCACCUUGCCGACCCUGUUAACAACAAUGCGUGGGCCUUCGCCACCAACUUCGUCCCCGGCAAGUAAGCGUUAGAAGAUCGAGUUGUGAGGAGAGUAAUAUAUGUAUAGACAGACAUACUCUCAGGAUGAUGUAUGAUUAAGACG